GUCCUUCUGCUUCAGAAAUGUAAUGAAUGGGUCUUUCACGUGCAUGCGUAAAAUGUGUCGCCCAUAUUUGUUACGACGGGGGCACAUCACCCUUCUGACU